AAGCCUGGAGAGAGAAGCAGGGUCUGAUCCGUAGCCUCCGUGGCAGCUGUUGAUCAGCCCUUGCCCCUUUUUUUCUCUCUG
rfam:Myotis lucifugus cont2.38744, whole genome shotgun sequence.